UUAAGUUUUGAUUGUUAUUAUAGCAUUGUUAUGUAUGCUCAUAUAUUGCUAAUUAGAUCUUCGAUUUAGUCAAUUAAACUUAAUUAAUUAUACUUUAACGCUCAAUUAAAGUUAUUUUUCUUGAGACAUGUGUAUUUAUUUAUCUAUUUAUUUUCGGUACCAAAUGGAGACCUAAGCAUAUCCAUUCAUACAUUUUAACUUCUACUCAAAACCCACCGCCUACCCCCCACCAUUAAUCCGUUGUUUCCUCCCUCGACGUUUCUUCCCCGUUGCCAGCGAUCGAAACCAGUGCUCGGCGUCUCCUCUCUCUCUCUCUCUCUGUCUCUCGGUGAAGGAUCUCUUCAUCUGCCCUCUUUUCUUUUUGGAGUUCGAGAUUGCUUCCGUUGAUCGACGUGGUAAACGUUUGUGGGGGGGAGGGGGUAUCGGAUGUCGAUUGCAGGGGGUGAAUUUGGUCGCGGUGGGGAUCGACGGCUGAUUCGAGUGUGAGGAAAUCGGGCAUGGGUUUCUUUCCAGGCUGAUUGGAUCGGCCUUCUUGUUUCGGUGGUUUCGGUGGGAUCUUCCCUCACUUUGAUCUUUGUUUGGGGGGCGAAUAUUUCGGAGGGAAGAUGGGGUAUUUGAACUCCAUCAGUGGGCUUCAAGCAGACGGUGCUCCGGUCAGCGGGGGAGGACUCAGUCAAGAUGGGAAGUUUGGUUAUGGGUAUGCAAGCUGUCCGGGGAAAAGAUCUUCGAUGGAAGACUUCUAUGAGACGCGAAUUGACAGCGUUGAUGGAGAAAUUGUUGGCUUGUUUGGGGUCUUUGAUGGUAAAAUUUCUGCAGUAUUUUGUUGUCUUUGUUAUGUUUAGAAUGUCUUAUCUUUUUUUUUUUUUGUAUUUGCAAAUUUUUGGUAAAACUGACAUAGAAAA